rnacentral:rRNA from 1 species
CCUACGGGGGGCAGCAGUGGGGAAUAUUGCACAAUGGGCACAAGCCUGAUGCAGCCAUGCCGCGUGUGUGAAGAAGGCCUUCGGGUUGUAAAGCACUUUCAGCGGGGAGGAAGGCGGUGAGGUUAAUAACCUCAUCGAUUGACGUUACCCACAGAAGAAGCACCGGCUAACUCCGUGCCAGCAGCCGCGGUAAUACGGAGGGUGCAAGCGUUAAUCGGAAUUACUGGGCGUAAAGCGCACGCAGGCGGUCUGUCAAGUCGGAUGUGAAAUCCCCGGGCUCAACCUGGGAACUGCAUUCGAAACUGGCAGGCUAGAGUCUUGUAGAGGGGGGUAGAAUUCCAGGUGUAGCGGUGAAAUGCGUAGAGAUCUGGAGGAAUACCGGUGGCGAAGGCGGCCCCCUGGACAAAGACUGACGCUCAGGUGCGAAAGCGUGGGGAGCAAACAGGAUUAGAUACCCCGGUAGUC